CCUACGGGCGGCAGCAGUGGGGAAUAUUGCACAAUGGGGGGAACCCUGAUGCAGCGACGCCGCGUGGGUGAAGGAGUAUUUCGGUAUGUAAAGCCCUAUCAGCAGGGAAGAACAAUGACGGUACCUGAGUAAGAAGCACCGGCGAAAUACGUGCCAGCAGCCGCGGUAAUACGUAUGGUGCAAGCGUUAUCCGGAUUUACUGGGUGUAAAGGGAGCGCAGGCGGCGCGUUAAGCCUGGUGUGAAAGCCCGCGGCCCAACCGCGGGACUGCAUUGGGAACUGGCGGGCUGGAGUGCCGGAGGGGUAGGCGGAAUUCCUGGUGUAGCGGUGAAAUGCGUAGAUAUUAGGAGGAACACCAGUGGCGAAGGCGGCCUACUGGACGGUGACUGACGCUGAGGCUCGAAAGCGUGGGGAGCAAACAGGAUUAGAUACCCGAGUAGUC
rnacentral:rRNA from 1 species